CAAAAUAUAGCUUAAUAAAAGCCUUUCGCUUACACCGAAAAAAUGUCUGUUUGACCCAAACUAUUUUGA
rnacentral:tRNA from 1 species